GGAUGGGAGGGCGAUCAGGCUGCGACAUCCGUCACCCCACUGAUCGCCAGGGUUGAUCCAGCUGAUCUGGCUGGCUAGGCGGGUGUCCCCUCCCUCCCUCACCGCUCCAUGUUUGUCCCUCACAAAGAGGACGGCCUUCCCCAAAUAGAGAUGACCGGUCUUAGGUGGAGGGUGUACAAGUAGCUGCGCUCCCCUGCUAGAACCUCCAAACAAGCUCUCAAAAUGUUGGCAACAGGGUACUUUAAAGUGACCUGUUAUACUU
rnacentral:snRNA from 1 species